GAUGAACGCUGGCGGCGUGCCUAAUACAUGCAAGUCGAGCGAAUGGAUUAAGAGCUUGCUCUUAUGAAGUUAGCGGCGGACGGGUGAGUAACACGUGGGUAACCUGCCCAUAAGACUGGGAUAACUCCGGGAAACCGGGGCUAAUACCGGAUAACAUUUUGAACCGCAUGGUUCGAAAUUGAAAGGCGGCUUCGGCUGUCACUUAUGGAUGGACCCGCGUCGCAUUAGCUAGUUGGUGAGGUAACGGCUCACCAAGGCAACGAUGCGUAGCCGACCUGAGAGGGUGAUCGGCCACACUGGGACUGAGACACGGCCCAGACUCCUACGGGAGGAAGCAGUAGGGAAUCUUCCGCAAUGGACGAAAGUCUGACGGAGCAACGCCGCGUGAGUGAUGAAGGCUGUCGGGUCGUAAAAUUCUGUUGUUAGGGAAGAACAAGUGCUAGUUGAAUAAGCUGGCACCUUGACGGUACCUAACCAGAAAGCCACGGCUAACUACGUGCCAGCAGCCGCCGUAA
rnacentral:rRNA from 1 species